rnacentral:rRNA from 1 species
GAUGAACGCUGGCGGCGUGCCUAAUACAUGCAAGUAGGACGCUGAAGCUUGGUGCUUGCACCGAGCGGAUGAGUUGCGAACGGGUGAGUAACGCGUAGGUAACCUGCCUCUUAGCGGGGGAUAACUAUUGGAAACGAUAGCUAAUACCGCAUAAAAGUCGAUAUCGCAUGAUGUUGACUUGAAAGGUGCAAUUGCAUCACUAAGAGAUGGACCUGCGUUGUAUUAGCUAGUUGGUGAGGUAACGGCUCACCAAGGCGACGAUACAUAGCCGACCUGAGAGGGUGAUCGGCCACACUGGGACUGAGACACGGCCCAGACUCCUACGGGAGGCAGCAGUAGGGAAUCUUCGGCAAUGGGGGCAACCCUGACCGAGCAACGCCGCAUGAGUGAAGAAGGUUUUCGGAUCGUAAAGCUCUGUUGUAAGAGAAGAACGAGUGUGAGAGUGGAAAGUUCACACUGUGACGGUAACUUACCAGAAAGGGACGGCUAACUACGUGCCAGCAGCCGCGGUAAUACGUAGGUCCCGAGCGUUAUCCGGAUUUAUUGGGCGUAAAGCGAGCGCAGGCGGUUAGAUAAGUCUGAAGUUAAAGGCUGUGGCUUAACCAUAGUACGCUUUGGAAACUGUUUAACUUGAGUGCAGAAGGGGAGAGUGGAAUUCCAUGUGUAGCGGUGAAAUGCGUAGAUAUAUGGAGGAACACCGGUGGCGAAAGCGGCUCUCUGGUCUGUAACUGACGCUGAGGCUCGAAAGCGUGGGGAGCAAACAGG